rnacentral:lncRNA from 1 species
CUUUGGGUGUGAAAGAGCCUUCAACCAGAAGGACUCCUCCACUUCUAUGCCAAUAGUACCCAGAUACCAUUAAAUGGUACGAGAAAAAUUAGAGAGGGCAUGGAAUAUCAAGAGUCCAUGAAUUUAUGGACUCUUUCAUACCAAUGCAUAAAAGGAUGUGGCAUCCCAUUAUUUUUGUGGCAUCCAAAUUCCUUCCAUGAGAAGGACUCUCCUUCCCAUUCCACACCUAGAAAUCCCAAUGGUCAUC